CCGGCUACAAGUCCAGGCACCUAAUAGAGGGGUGCAUGCUCAUGAGUAGCUCAGAGGACCUCAUGCUCAUGGCCACAGAGAUUGGUCCAGAAAAAGGCACAUGCACAUAAACCAGGGAUUUACUUUCAGCUCUGUUCCAGAACAGAUGCUCUUUUCCACUCCCCACGGAGAUCAAGAGCUUGGAGCAGAAAUAAUAGCUCUCCUCACAAAAAGACAAGGUGUCUGUACUUUAUUCAUCAAUGACCUAAACUAAAACUAUUACAGAGCUGCAGAGAAUUUUCUGAGUGGAGAGAACCACACAAUGUCUUUAACUUUUGGGGGAAGAAUCAAGAGCUCUAAGACAAAUCACUUUAUGCACCUAUCUCUACAGUCUUUGCAUACAUGGCCUACUUUUAUUACCCCUUCUCUUUUUGAGGUAACCAGGUAUCCAGGUUAAUCACGCUACCCUUGGUUAUCAUCACAUGUAUUUCUGAAAUUGUCUUUUACAUAUAUCUUUUUACUUGUUAAUGUAAGACAUAAGAACAGCCUUUAUCUUGUUGAUUAUGGUAAUUAGCACAUAGUAAUUUCUCAAUAAAAAU
rnacentral:lncRNA from 1 species